GAUGAACGCUGGCGGCGUGCCUAAUUCAUGCAAGUCGAGCGAAGCGGGGACGGGUGAGUAACACGUGGAUAACCUCCUAUAAGACUGGGAUAACUCCGGGAAACCGGAGCUAAACCGGAUACUUAUAGUUGGAUCCGCGCUGCAUUAGCUAGUUGGUAAGGUAACGGCUUAACAAGGCAACGAUGCAUAGCCGACCUGAGAGGGUGAUCGGCCACACUGGAACGGGGACAGGGUCCAGACGCCACCGGGAGGCAGCGUUAGGGAAGCUUCCGCAAUGGACGAAGGCCUAACGGUGCAACGCCGCGUGAGUGAUGAAGGUCUUCGGAUCGUAAAACUCUGUUAUUAGGACUGCGGUACCUAAACAGAAAGCCACGGCUAACUACGUGCCAGCAGCCGCGGUAAUAC
rnacentral:rRNA from 1 species